rnacentral:rRNA from 1 species
GGUAACCUGCCCAUCANAAGGGGAUAACACUUGGAAACAGGUGCUAAUACCGUAUAACACUAUUUUCCGCAUGGAAGAAAGUUGAAAGGCGCUUUUGCGUCACUGAUGGAUGGACCCGCGGUGCAUUAGCUAGUUGGUGAGGUAACGGCUCACCAAGGCCACGAUGCAUAGCCGACCUGAGAGGGUGAUCGGCCACACUGGGACUGAGACACGGCCCAGACUCCUACGGGAGGCAGCAGUAGGGAAUCUUCGGCAAUGGACGAAAGUCUGACCGAGCAACGCCGCGUGAGUGAAGAAGGUUUUC